GAGUUUGAUCCUGGCUCAGGACGAACGCUGGCGGCGUGCCUAAUACAUGCAAGUAGAACGCUGAAGAGAGGAGCUUGCUCUUCUUGGAUGAGUUGCGAACGGGUGAGUAACGCGUAGGUAACCUGCCUUGUAGCGGGGGAUAACUAUUGGAAACGAUAGCUAAUACCGCAUAACAAUGGAUGACACAUGUCAUUUAUUUGAAAGGGGCAAUUGCUCCACUACAAGAUGGACUUGCGUUGUAUUAGCUAGUAGGUGAGGUAACGGCUCACCUAGGCGACGAUACAUAGCCGACCUGAGAGGGUGAUCGGCCACACUGGGACUGAGACACGGCCCAGACUCCUACGGGAGGCAGCAGUAGGGAAUCUUCGGCAAUGGGGGCAACCCUGACCGAGCAACGCCGCGUGAGUGAAGAAGGUUUUCGGAUCGUAAAGCUCUGUUGUAAGUCAAGAACGAGUGUGAGAGUGGAAAAUUCACACUGUGACGGUAGCUUACCAGAAAGGGACGGCUAACUACGUGCCAGCAGCCGCGGUAAUACGUAGGUCCCGAGCGUUGUCCGGAUUUAUUGGGCGUAAAGCGAGCGCAGGCGGUUUGAUAAGUCUGAAGUUAAAGGCUGUGGCUCAACCAUAGUUCGCUUUGGAAACUGUCAAACUUGAGUGCAGAAGGGGAGAGUGGAAUUCCAUGUGUAGCGGUGAAAUGCGUAGAUAUAUGGAGGAACACCGGUGGCGAAAGCGGCUCUCUGGUCUGUAACUGACGCUGAGGCUCGAAAGCGUGGGGAGCGAACAGGAUUAGAUACCCUGGUAGUCCACGCCGUAAACGAUGAGUGCUAGGUGUUGGAUCCUUUCCGGGAUUCAGUGCCGCAGCUAACGCAUUAAGCACUCCGCCUGGGGAGUACGACCGCAAGGUUGAAACUCAAAGGAAUUGACGGGGGCCCGCACAAGCGGUGGAGCAUGUGGUUUAAUUCGAAGCAACGCGAAGAACCUUACCAGGUCUUGACAUCCCGAUGCUAUUUCUAGAGAUAGAAAGUUACUUCGGUACAUCGGUGACAGGUGGUGCAUGGUUGUCGUCAGCUCGUGUCGCGAGAUGUUGGGUUAAGUCCCGCAACGAGCGCAACCCCUAUUGUUAGUUGCCAUCAUUCAGUUGGGCACUCUAGCGAGACUGCCGGUAAUAAACCGGAGGAAGGUGGGGAUGACGUCAAAUCAUCAUGCCCCUUAUGACCUGGGCUACACACGUGCUACAAUGGUUGGUACAACGAGUUGCGAGUCGGUGACGGCAAGCUAAUCUCUUAAAGCCAAUCUCAGUUCGGAUUGUAGGCUGCAACUCGCCUACAUGAAGUCGGAAUCGCUAGUAAUCGCGGAUCAGCACGCCGCGGUGAAUACGUUCCCGGGCCUUGUACACACCGCCCGUC
rnacentral:rRNA from 1 species